AAUGGCGCUAAGUGUGCUAACCGGCUGAACUUCCAGCUGCACCAACCCUUGAAGCGAGUGUUUGACCAGAACUUUCCCUUUCUUCUUCCAUAUGAUUUCUUCGUCUUCUUCUUCCUCUCCUCUGCAGUUCCAGCCAGAGCUCUGAAGCCAAGAUAACAAUAAAUCCUAAGCAACCCUAUUCUUAGCAAAAUCAAAAGCUUGGCAUGGGGGGCAGCACUAAUCUUGAUUUCUUAAGGUUUCUUGUCUUAAUAUCAUUCUGUCUCCCUCUCACCUAUGCAGCAGCAGAAUCCUCCACUUCAAACAUAUGCCCUAUGGACCUUAACUAUGUCUUAAGAAUCCCAUGGAACAAAACUCUUUGUCGAAACUUCAACCCUCUUGCUCAAAAUAACAAUUCCAACUCCACAAGCAAGCCCCCAUGUUGCCAAACCAUACUCUCCCUCUUUGGGGUUGCCCUAUCUCAACAUCUCAAAGGAACCUCUCUUUUUCAACUUCCAAACUUAGCUACCUCUAGUUCUUGCCUUCAAGAUUACCAGUCAAAGCUCAGCUCCUUUUCUCUUUCCGACAAUCUUGUCUCUCACUGCUUCAACCCUUCACAGUUUGUUACAUCACCUUUCAUCUGUGCCCGUAUAGAGACAUCUCAAGACUGGGUUGAUCAACUUGGUAAGUCGACUUCUCUUGAUUCAGAUUGCCGGUCUGAUCUUACUGAUCUUACAGCUUGUGAUUCUUGUCUUAGAGCUGGUUAUAAAGUACAGUCGUUGUUGUUGGCUGCUGAUGGUAAUACAACUCAUGCUCAAGAUUGUUUUUACUUUGCUGUUCUCUAUGCUGCUGGUAUUGUUAACGAGUUUGGUCCUGAAAGUGAUGGUGUUGUUUCAUGUAUAUUUGGUUUGGAAUUAAAUUCAAGAGUUGGUUCAGCUAGCAAUUCUCAUUCUGCUCUUGUUUUUGGCUUGACUGGUGCUGGUGUUGCUAUUUUGGUAAUGUCUAGCUUGUUAGGAUUGUAUCUUUGGUAUGAUAAGAAAUGGAGAAGGAAAAAAAAUUUAGGGUUUGGUUUUGAUUUAGAUGAACAACAAGGGUCUAGGCCUAAACUGAGGCCGAAUACAGGGUCAAUUUGGUUUAAAAUUCGGGAUCUUGAGAAGGCAACAGACAAUUUCUCGCAGAAGAAUUUUAUUGGGAGAGGCGGGUUUGGUUUUGUUUACAAGGGGGUUUUAUCUGAUGGGACAGUGGUGGCUAUUAAAAGUGUUAUAGAAUCUGAUUUUCAAGGUGAUGCAGAGUUUUGCAACGAGGUUGAGAUUAUUAGCAACUUGAAGCACAGGAAUUUGGUGCCACUCAGAGGGUGCUGUGUGAUUGACGAUGAUGUAAAUUCUGAUGAGAGAGGCAAUCAGAGGUAUCUUGUUUAUGAUUACAUGUCAAAUGGGAAUCUUGAUGACCAUUUAUUUCCAUCAUCGGAUAAUCAAAUUCAAAAGCAAUUGUUAAGUUGGCCUCAAAGAAAGAGCAUAAUUUUGGAUGUGGCAAAGGGAUUAGCUUAUUUGCACCAUGGAGUCAAGCCUGGAAUAUAUCAUAGAGAUAUCAAGGGGACAAAUAUAUUGUUAGAUGCUGAUAUGAGAGCAAGAGUUGCCGAUUUUGGGUUGGCAAAGCAAAGUAGGGAAGGGCAGUCUCAUCUUACGACAAGAGUGGCUGGAACUCAUGGGUACUUAGCACCCGAAUAUGCUCUUUAUGGUCAAUUGACUGAGAAGAGCGAUGUUUAUAGCUUUGGGGUGGUUGUUUUGGAGAUAAUGAGUGGGAGAAAAGCUCUUGAUUUGUCUUCUUCAGGGUCACCUCGGGCUUUAUUGAUCACAGACUGGGCCUGGUCAUUGGUGAAAGCUGGAAAAGUGGAACAGGCUUUGGAUGCUUCUUUGUUGAGAGGUAGUGAUUCUUCAAAUUCAAAUCCGAAGGGGAUAAUGGAAAGGUUUGUGCUGGUUGGGAUUUUGUGUGCUCAUAUAAUGGUGGCUCUAAGGCCAACCAUUCUGGAUGCGCUGAAAAUGUUAGAAGGAGAUAUUGAAGUUCCACAGAUUCCAGAUCGACCAGUGCCUCUUGGGCACCCUUCGUUCCAUGCUGAUGGCAAUAAUUUCAGCAUCUCACCAGUAUUGAGUGGACCAAAAUUACAGCCUGGAGACAUACUUAGAUCUUCCAAGUGGCCUGAGACUACAAGAGGUAGCCAUAUUAAGACUAGCCAACAAAAAACUUCAAAUCACCAUUUUAUGACAACAACAUUGCUUGGUAGACCAAUGCCUGACAAAAACUAAAGCCAAAACAAAACUCAAAAGAGGACAGUUUGAGGCUGAUUUCCAAAGCCUAAGAAUAUGAAGAAGUUCAGCUUCAUUUCCAGUCGAGCAUACCGACAGAACAUGAGAAAAAUACAAGCGAAAGGCCACACCAACAAUGUAAUGAGGCUGAUAAAUUGAAGGCUAAAAGAAUCAAGGCUUAACAAUUUGCUGCUUCAUUACAAGAGAGCUUCUACAGCUACCUUUGAUGUCUUUAAUCAGUCUGUAGCUGACUGCAGCACUUUCUGCAGUGGAAUGAGACACACAGGUAGAUCAUACUUUGUUGCUCAUAUUUGCUGAUAAAUCUAGGUGUCAUUGACUUUGGUCCUUUGUUACUAUAAUGUGGCCGCCGUAGAGGGUCUAGUGCCGAUGGCUUCUCUGCUUGAGGUUGUAAGGAACUUAUUCAUCAAUUUCUAACGUGUGAAGUUGAACCAAACCUUAAAGGACUACAAUUGUUUAGUUUCUUGCCGGUAGGGUAUUGGUCUUGUGACCUCAUAAUCGAUAGGUGCAAUUUUGUACGUGAAGAAAUACCUGUGCAGAUGGCACUAUGGUCCAGCAAUUGUUUCCACACAUCCAACAGAAUUUUAAGCAUCUCUUCUUUCA